AGAGUUUGAUCCUGGCUCAGAGUGAACGCUGGCGGCGUGCCUAACACAUGCAAGUCGCACGAGAAAGGCUGGGUGAAAGCUUGGCCGAGUAAAGUGGCGCACGGGUGNGUAACGCGUGAGUGACCUACCCUGGUGUCUGGGAUAACCCUGCGAAAGUGGGGCUAAUACCGGAUGAGCCUNCCUGGAGGUGAUCUGGGUAGGGAAAGGGGGCCUCUCGGAGAAGCUCCUGCACUGGGAUGGGCUCGCGUCCUAUCAGCUAGUUGGUGGGGUAAUGGCCUACCAAGGCUACGACGGGUAGCCGGCCUGAGAGGGUGGUCGGCCACACUGGCACUGGAACACGGGCCAGACUCCUACGGGAGGCAGCAGUGAGGGAUAUUGCGCAAUGGCCGCAAGGCUGACGCAGCGACGCCGCGUGGGUGAGGAAGGCCUUCGGGUUGUAAAGCCCUGUCGGCGGGGAAGAACCUUCAUGGGGUUAAUAGCCCUGUGGACUGACGNACCCGCGGAGGAAGCAC
rnacentral:rRNA from 1 species